rnacentral:rRNA from 1 species
CUUUCCCUCUUUCUUCAGGCCUAACACAUGCAAGUCGAACGGUAACAGGAAGAAGCUUGCUUCUUUGCUGACGAGUGGCGGACGGGUGAGUAAUGUCUGGGAAACUGCCUGAUGGAGGGGGAUAACUACUGGAAACGGUAGCUACUACCGCAUAACGUCGCAAGACCAAAGAGGGGGACCUUCGGGCCUCUUGCCAUCGGAUGUGCCCAGAUGGGAUUAGCUAGUAGGUGGGGUAACGGCUCACCUAGGCGACGAUCCCUAGCUGGUCUGAGAGGAUGACCAGCCACACUGGAACUGAGACACGGUCCAGACUCUUACGGGAGGCAGCAGUGGGGAAUAUUGCACGAUGGGCGCAAGCCUGAUGCAGCCAUGCCGCGUGUAUGAAGAAGGCCUUCGGGUUGUAAAGUACUUUCAGCGGGGAGGAAGGGAGUAAAGUUAAUACCUGUGCUCAUUGACGUUACCCGCAGAAGAAGCACCGGCUAACUCCGUG